rnacentral:lncRNA from 1 species
AGAACGCUCAAUCACGCCUUCAACCAGAGCACUCGAUCGCAACCUCGGAGCCCCGACAGAGCAAAAUCACUCGAUCACAACCCCAUAAACUGUCAUGAAGGCCAAAACCACUCGAUCACAACCCCAGAAACUGUCAUGAAGGCCAAAACCACUCGAUCACAACCCCGAAGCGAUUUUAAAAGAGACCACUCGAUCGCAAGAUCGAGCAGAAGCUGUCAUGGAGGACAUACCACUCAAUCACAACCCCGGAGAUGCCAGCAGCUUAGUUUCACUCGAUCGCAGGGUCUCGAUGUGAAGACCACUAUCUCGAACUUUCCUUAUUUAACUUUUCUCGCUUAUAUAAACAGCCUCUAAGGGUUUUCCCUAGGGCAUCCAGUCUUUAAUUUUCAGUUUUUACCUAGACUUGUUUUCGUAGCCGCAGUGUGUUCUUCCUGCGACUUUGUAUUUGCUAUCAAGUAUUUUAUAAUUCAGUUUUCGUUUCAGUCUUUAUCAUUUCCUGUUAUCAUGUUUUCAAUCGUUUCAUUGCUAUUGUUUUUUAUUAUGUCUGAGUAGUGAAUUGUAUUUAUGAGGAUGGGAUAGAGUAGUCGUGGUUGCCUUAGUCGCUUUAGAUGGUUGAGUUUAGAUUGUUUGAAUCCCUUCUGGAUUAGUUGUGCUUAUCGCUUGUUCCUUUCUGAUCAACUGGAAAAUGAAUCCAGACAUUCCCGCACCCAAAAGUUGUUUGAUGGAAUGUCUGAUCCACUAAUUCCAGAGAUACUCGUCUCUAUCCCAAGGUAUUGGUCGUUUAGAGCGGGUAUUGGCUUUAACAAGUUGGUUCGAUAUUGCCUGCUUAGUUAGAGAUCGCUAAUGGUGAUUAGGUAUGUGUCUAGCUAUGCUUGAGAAUUGCUAUCACGGUGGUGAAUUGAUUCGCUUUUGAACUUGUUGUCAAGGGAUAGCUUAUGUGAAGUUUUGUCAACCGUCUAAAUAGAUUAAGGAGACAACGCUAUUCGAUUACCCUGUCCUUAGGAAUCUCUCAUCCAUUUGAUUGCCUGUUAUCUUACCUGCUUUGUUAUUCUACUACCUGCUAUUGCUAGUUUGCAUUCCAGUUUCAUUUCAUUUCUGUUAUUUCACAUUAGGACUGUUAGAAAAUCACAACUCUCUGCUUGGCUUGACUUAGUGAAUUCUCAUUAUAUCUCAUCUGUUUGCAUCACACUAGAUUGGAUUGACACCCUAAAAUACUACAACGACACAAUAGUGUUUUAAGAUUAAUUGAUCUUAAAAACCUAUUAUCAAUUUGGCGUCGUUGCCAGUUUAGUGUUUGUUUGCUAUAUUUGAGAUCAUUAGAAUCGUUAAGAUCAAGUUCGUUUUUGUUACACAAGAUACUGACAUUGUGUUUUUCUGUCUGUGUUUCAGGUACUCACAGCAACCAGCUUUACAGACUCAUCUCUGAUUGGUCUGCUAAAGCCUUGCUGUUACCUGUUAUAUGCAUACACGGUCAAAAGGAAAUCAGAAUCUCCUUUUCAACGAUAACAUCGACCGUAUCGCUCGCCAACUAAGAGAACAGACAGCAACAGACACAAUGGCUGACAUUGUAGAUGAUCAAGACCAACCCAACAACAUUGGUGCUGGUGACUUCCCACACAAUCACAACCAGCGUCAUGGAAUUGUUCCUCCACCAGUCCAGAACAACAACUUUGAGAUCAAGAGCGGUCUCAUUGCAAUGGUUCAGGGGAAAAAGUUUCACGGCUUGCCAAUGGAGGAUCCGCUUGAUCAUCUUGACGAAUUUGAAAGACUCUAUGGCUUUACUAAAAUCAAUGGAGUAAGUGAAGAUGGUUUCAAGCUUCGCUUGUUUCCAUUCUCACUUGGAGACAAAGCCCAUCUGUGGGAAAAAACGCUACCCCAGGGUUCAAUCAUGACCUGGGAUGACUGCAAAAAAACCUUCUUGGUUAAAUUCUUCUCCAACUCCAGAACAGCAAGACUCCGGAAUGAGAUAUCCGGAUUCACUCAGAAGAAUGCUGAAACCUUCUGUGAAGCAUGGGAGCGCUUCAAAGGUUAUCAGACCAAAUGCCCUCAUCACGGCUUUGGAAAAGCUUCUCUUCUCAGCACACUCUACAGAGGCGUCCUUCCCAAGAUAAGGAUGCUGCUUGAUACCGCUUCCAAUGGGAACUUCCUCAAUAAAGACGUUGGUGAAGGAUGGGAGCUCGUUGAAAACUUAGCUCAGUCGGAUGGCAAUUACAACGAGGAUUAUGACAGAAGCAUCCGCACCAGUCCUGACACUGAUUACAAGCACCGCAAAGAGAUGAAAGCUCUCAAUGACAAACUAGACAAGCUCCUGCAAGUGCAACAGUCGCAUGUUCACUUCGUCUCUGAAGAUGAACAAUUCCAAGUCCAAGAGGGGGAGAAUGAUCAGUCUGCUGAAAUCAGUUACAUUCAGAACCAAGGUGGCUACAACAAGGGUUACAACAACUACAGACCAAACCCGAAUUUGUCAUACAGAAGCACCAACGUUGCCAACCCUCAAGACCAAGUUUAUCCAUCUCAGCAGCAGCAACAACAACAACCCAAACCGUUUGUUCCAUACAACCAAGGUCAAGGGGUUGUUCCAAAGCAGCAGUUCCAGGGAGAAUAUCAACAACAGCAACCACCACCUGGUUUCCCAUCACAGCAACAUCAAGCACCUUCGCCUCCGGAUUCUAAUAUGAAGAAGAUGGUCCAACAGAUACUUCAAGGGCAAGCCAUAGGAGCGAUGGAAAUUGCAAAAAAGUUGGUUGAAUUAAACAACAAAGUCGACUGCAAUUUCAAUGACCUUAACAGCAAGUUUGAAUCAUUGAGUACUAGACUGCGCUAUCUGGAAGGCAAUCCUAUUUUAACAUCCAUUUCCAACAACCCAGGCCAACUUCCAGGGAAAGCAAUCCAGAACCCAAAGGAGUAUGCCACUGCUCACGCCAUCACUAUCUGCCAUGAUCGAGAGCUGCCAACUCGACAUGCCCCUAACUCAAACACUGAGGGCAGUGUGAUUCAAGAGGGGGAGGACUUCUAUCAAAAUGACGUUUUGGCUGACCUAACACUAGUAGAGCCCAUACUUGACAAUCAGUCUACUCGACCACAAGCUUCACCAGUCGCCCCCACUGUUGAAAAACCAGCUGCUGCAAAGACCAAGGAUACAGUCUUUGUGCCACCACCUUACAAACCCCGGCUUCCAUUCCCUGGUCGAUUCAAGAAAGUGCUUAUUAAGAAGUAUCAAGCCCUCCUGGAAAAACAACUGAAAGACCUUGAAGUAACGAUGCCUCUAGUGGUCUGUCUUGCACUAAUACUAGAUUCACACAAGUAUGUGAAGGAUAUGCUCACGAAGAGAAUUAGAGAAGUUCAAGGAAAUGUGGUGUUGAGUCAUGAGUGCAGCGCAAUCAUCCAAACGAAGAUUAUUACCAAGAAAUUGGGAGAUCCUGGAUCGUUUACCUUACCUUGCUCUCUAGGUCCUUUAGCCUUCAGUAACUGCCUCUGUGAUCUAGGUGCUUAUAUAAGUCUCAUGCCUCUCUCUGUGGCCAAGAGACUAGGUUUCAGCAAGUAUAAAUCUUGCAAUAUCUCCUUGAUUCUGGCUGAUAGGUCUGUUAGACUACCUCAUGGGUUAUUAGAAGAUUUGUCUAUUAAGAUUGGAAAUGUUGAAGUCCCCACAGACUUCAUAGUGCUAGAAAUAGAUGAAGAACCAAAAGAUCCUUUAAUCUUAGGAAGGCCCUUCUUAGCUACAGCGGGAGCAGUCAUAGAUGUUAAGAAAGGAAAGAUUGAUCUUAAUCUUGGAAAAGAUUUCAAGAUGAAGUUUGACAUCAAUGAUACUAUGAAAAAACCAACAAUAGAAGGACAUACCUUCUUGGUUUAGGAAAUGGAUAGGCUAGCUGAUGAACUGCUAGAAGAGCUUGCCGAUGAAGAUCACCUUCAAACUGCUUUAACCAAGAGUGGUGAAGCUGGGUAUCUCCCUAGUGAGACCUUGAGCUCUGAGAACUUAUUAGACUCACGCAAGGCAACAAUUGGGUCAAAUGUCAUUAAGGCUUUGAUUGCGUCAGAAAUAAAUGGUAUGGCAGCAAAUGAGGCAAGCUCGACCCAUACUCGACCUGCUGACUUGACCAUCUACUCGAGUAAUCCUUUAGCUCGCCCACAGAGCUCAUGCUCGACAAAACUGCUUGAUCAGAAGCUAGAGUCUCACAAUUUUGCAUCAGACGAUUGGUUAAAAUUCAUGGAGAGGUCUAAAUGGCAGGACAAAGCCAUAAGGGAGUUAACAGACACUGUGAUAAAUCUAAAGGAUCAAAUCAAAGAGCUCCAUGGGAAAGCCAACCAAGGACCACUCAAUAUCAAGGACGUACCAAAUGAUGAAGCCAUUGCUCAGGUUAGCAAAGAAAAAAAUGAAUUCACACUAGAAUGGUCUAUAAAAGAAGACUAUCCGGCUGAUCAGAAAGAAGCUUACUUUGAAGAAACGGCCAUUGAGUACUCAGAUGCAGACUUGUCAAGAGAGCAUGCUGAGUUUGAUGAUCUAUCUACUAAGGAAGAAGAUGAGACCUCAUUUCAUCUCCAAAAACCUCCCUAAGCCUAAUAAGUGUGAGGAGUCAAGCUAGAGACUUAAAACAAGCUCACUUGGGAGGGAGUCCCAUGACUAUCUUUGUAUAUAAAUUUUACUUUCUUGUUAUUUUUUUAUUUGUUUUGGUUGUGUCUUUGGUUGUCAGGAAAUGAAUAGCAUCUGGAGUAAUAAGCAAGUGUGCGAUCGAGUGUUGAAAUAUAUUUUUUCUAAUUUUUACUAAACCACUCGAUCGCAACAUAGGAGUGGAGAGCUCGGGCAUGCGAUCUAGCUGUUUUGGAUCACAUCCUUUUCAACAAUAUUUUCAAACCACUCGAUCGCAACACGGACUUGGUGGGAUCGAGUGGUCAUUUAUUUGGCUAACCCAUUUCACUCGAUCGCAAGGGUAGGUAAAGUGUCUGACAAGAACUUCAAUGACAACCCAUGCUUCAAUAAGACAACAUGUCUUCACUCACUUCACCGAUGCUCCACAACCUGCUGGGGUUGCAAUCAAGCACGAUUAUGAGGAGAUGGCAGAACCACACCUAGGACCUGUCAUCUACUGAGGUAAUUCUACUAAGGUAACACACCAAAACACAAUUGUAAAUACCGUUUUUGUUUUUGUUUCUUGUGUUUAUCUUGAAUUCUUUCACAAAUUUUUAUUACACAAGGGACUGUGUAAUUUAAGUUUGGGGGAGGGUUCAAGACGUAUUUGACUUGUUUUUUUUGUGAAUAUCAUUUGAGUUUGCAUCUCAUCUAAGACAUAGAAAAAAACAAAAAAAAUUUGAAAAUUUAUGAAAAUGUAUUCCACAAAAACAGAGUGUUCAUGUAGCUGCAUUGCAUUUAGGAUCGAGUCUAGAGUGUUUCAUUUAGGAUUGUUGCAUAUGCAUAGGGGAUAAUAAGGAAAUAACCUUGUAAGCAUGUUGAUUUACUGAAUAAACUCAAUGCCCUCGUUACUAGUUGUCUGAUGCAUUUGAAUGACUUUGAAGUAAAACCGCACCAUGUUCUAUAGAAACCACUCGAUCGCAUGUCAUGACACCUUUCCCUGUUAAUUUGAACUUGAAUCUAACUUAUAAUUAUCAUGUUUGCAUCGGUUUUGAACUCGUGGAUAGAAUACAUACUUGGAUUUUCUUUCACUUAUUCACCACUCUUGUUAAUCCAAGUAGCUGCUUCUGUUAUUGGAGUAGUUUCCCCACCCUUAACCAACCCUUCUUUCAAGCCAUGUUAUUUGUGAGAGCAUGUGAGGCCUAUUUCAGGAUUGAGCUUGGUAGAACGUGUUAGGUUUGAGCCGACAAGAGUAAUAUCUCAUGUAGUUCCAAUCCGCGUUUUUGGACUUGGUAGGACUAGGUGGAAACUUAUUUGGGGAUUGAGAUUGAGUGUGAAAAGAAAAAGAAAAAAAAAAAUGGGUUAGAGUAUUUAGGAGAAGGAAGCUGAAAAUCAUAUUCAGGUCUAGUGAAUGUUUGGGAAGCAUAGAAUUGUUAAGUUAUGCUCUAAAAAAAAGAUGGCAACAAAAACAGAAAAAAAAAUUAUAAAAGCCAUAAGAGUUUAAGAAAAACCUGAUUCACUAGACUAGACUCAUAGAGUAUAAGAAAAGCUUCUCCUUAAGAACAAGAGCCAAAGAAAAGAAAGGAUAAAUUGAUCCAAGAAAGAAUAGAAAUAUGCCUUUAGUGCAAAAGGGUAGACUUAGGAUCAUCAAUGGGUUUAGAAAUAGGACCAUCUACUUGUUAUUCACGGUUUAUGUCAUUGGGUAGAUGGGGUACUAUUCUUGUAUGUAUAGGUUGGCACUUACCUUUAGCAUUCUCCUAAAGCUCAGUCCAUUUUCAUUGAGAGUCCCCUGUUAUUAAAAUCUGAACCACCUUAAAGGAACAUUCUUUAUCUCAUAGCCCGUCCUUAGCCAAACGAGUUCACUAACGAUGCACAACUUGAUUCAUGUUUUUGACCUUAAUGAAUGUUAAAGGGAUUGGUUGAUUUUGACGCAUUAUGCAAUCGAGUGUGGGUUUGGAUCAUAACAGAGCAUGGCUAAAGUUUUUAAGUAGAAGUCAUUCACCUCACAUCUUAGAACUAAUAACUUGGACAUUGAGCUUCAUUACUUCAUCACAUGUUUUGGUUCUGAGUCCCCAACUUCAAACCUCUCCUCCUGCUUAUGUUUUCUUGUUUACUUGAGGGCAAGCAAAGACUAAGUUUGGGGGAGUUGAUAUGUCUAUAAUUUGCAUGAUUUAAGCAUUCAUUCUUCAUCACUUUGUCAUUGUUUCAAUCACAUUUCAUCUCAUCAGUAGGCGUUUUAGUGUGUUUUGCAUACUUAGGACGUUUUUGCAUUAGGAUUGCAUGUGCAUUGCAUAUUUGGUUGUUUUCAGGUACUUUGGAUGCUUUUGGAGUUCAAACAGAGGAGAAACAGAACAUAAAUUCAGAACGCUCAAUCACGCUUUCAGCCAGAGCACUCGAUCGCAACCUCGGAGCCCUGACAGAGCAAAAUCACUCGAUCACAACCCCAAAAACUGUCAUGAAGGCCAAAACCACUCGAUCACAACCCCAGAAACUGUCAUGAAGACCAAAACCACUCGAUCACAACCCCGGAGCGAUUUCAAAAGAGACCACUCGAUCGCAAGAUCGAGCAGAAGCUGUCAUGGAGGACAUACCACUCGAUCACAAACCCGGAGAUGCCAGCAGCUUAGUUUCACUCGAUUGCAGGGUCUCGAUGUGAAGACCACUAUCUCGAACUUUCCUUAUUUAACUUUUCUUGCUUAUAUAAACAGCCUCUAAGGGUUUUCCCUAGGGCAUCCAGUCUUUAAUUUUCAGUUUUUACCUAGACUUGUUUUCGUAGCCGCAGUGUGUUCUUCCUGCGACUUUGUAUUUGCUUUCAAGUAUUUUAUAAUUCAGUUUUCGUUUCAG